rnacentral:sRNA from 1 species
AUACCGCUCGUCCACUCCGGUUCUGCGCGCGCCGCCACACCCAGCUGACGAUUGCUCGCUCGGUUCUCUUGGCC